UGGACACAUUUUCUUCAUCACAUCCAGUAGUCUAUUGUCCUUUCUCUGGGGCUUUCUUCCACCUGUCUCCCUCAGACAAUGCCCUCUAUCUGUACCUGAAUGAUACUGCAGGAGAUUCUGGUAAAAGCGUGCCAGCCUUGGAGAAGGACUCAGACUUUUCAUCCUCUAAAGAUGAUCCUGCAGUGAUCUAUGGAGGUGAAAAAGAAUUGCAACAGUUUGGUGUAUUUUGUGUUGAUCUUCAGAAAUUUAAAAAGACCCAUAAAAAGAAGGACUGGCAUAAAGGCAUAUUGUUAAAGAAACUCCUGGUUGCAGAGUCUGGAUUCUACAGAGAAGGAAUAGAGUGGUUGUUGGGACAUAAUUUGGGGUCUGGAAAAUUUGGCACUGUCUUUGAAGUCAUUGAUAACAGUAGCCAGUUUAAAUGUGCAGCAAAAAAGGUGGAGUUGAAGGACUUUAAACAGGGAGAGCUUGAGAUCUGGAAAGCUUUAAGUGGUCCCCAUGUUGUGGAACUGUUUGGAGCUGUUUUGGCAGGAGAGCAUGUGAUA